rnacentral:rRNA from 1 species
CCUACGGGAGGCAGCAGUGGGGAAUAUUGGGCAAUGGGCGAAAGCCUGACCCAGCAACGCCGCGUGAGGGAAGAAGGCUUUCGGGUUGUAAACUUCUUUUGACAGGGAAGAGCAGAAGACGGUACCUGUCGAAUAAGCCACGGCUAACUACGUGCCAGCAGCCGCGGUAAUACGUAGGUGGCAAGCGUUGUCCGGAUUUACUGGGGGUAAAGGGCGUGUAGCCGGGCUGACAAGGCAGAUGUGAAAUCCGGGGGCUCAACCCCCGAACUGCAGUUGAAACUGUUGGUCUUGAGUAUCGGAGAGGCAGGCGGAAUUCCUGGGGUAGCGGUGAAAUGCGUAGAUAUUAGGAGGAACACCAGUGGCGAAGGCGGCCUGCUGGACGACAACUGACGGUGAGGCGCGAAAGCGUGGGGAGCAAACAGGAUUAGAUACCCGAGUAGUC